GUCGGAUGGCGGUGAGGUGCAUUCUGAUCUGCACGGCCAUUCAGGUGGUUGGACAGGACCAUGGUACUCGGUUGUAGAGAGCCUAUCGGCGGCAGAAGAUCGGGCAUCCCCGGAAUGCCGUACAUUUCCGCUGCAAGCUAAACCGUCAAGGAGGAAGAAGGGACUGAAAGCCUGCAAGUGCAAAUUGCAUCCGAAUGGAAGUCUGUCCUGUCGAAAGGGGAAUGCCGCCAAAUUUGCCACCAUUAUCAAAUGCCUCUGCAAGAGAACAUUCCAUCAUUCUGAAUUGACUGACAACCUGAGGAGAACUCUCCAGAAGCACUGUGGCCUUUCCAAACCACUGUAGUGGCACGCUGUUGAGUUGAUUUUUUUCUCACUUGUUGUGGUUUUUUCUAAUUGUUUUUUUUCUAUUUUCAUUCUUUCUGUUUUUAUGUUACUCUAGAAUUCCCCUUUUCAAUAACUUUUGGCAAACAUCCAAAUUCUUAAGACUUCAGGUCUUCUGUAGGCUUCUGGUGGGCAUUUAAAAUAAGGGAGCAAAUAUUUCAACAAAGACGUUUACUACUUUUCUAUUUACAUUUGUUGUGGAAAUAAAACAAAAUAAAAACAA